rnacentral:rRNA from 1 species
AACUAUAACGGUCCUAAGGUAGCGAAAUUCCUUGUCAGGUAAGUUCUGACCCGCAUGAAAGGCGUAAUGAUUUGGGCACUGUCUCAACAGCCCGCCCGGCGAAAUUGUAGUACCGGUGAAGAUGCCGGUUACCCGCGACUAGACGGAAAGACCCCAUGGAGCUUCACUGCAGGUUGACAUUGGGCUUGGAUGCAUGAUGUACAGGAUAGGUGGGAGGCUGUGAGCCGUGCGCGCCAGCGUACGGGGAGCCGCUGUUGGGAUACCACCCUUCAUGCAUCUAGGUCCUAACCGGAGGCAACGGGCCACGGGACAGUGUCAGUCGGGCAGUUUGACUGGGGCGGUCGCCUCCCAAAGAGUAACGGAGGCGCCCAAAGGUCCGCUCAGCCCGGUUGGCAAUCGGGUGGCGAGUGCAAGUGCACAAGCGGGCUUGACUGCGAGGACGACGGUCCGAGCAGGGACGAAAGUCGGGACUAGUGAUCCGGUGCCGGUGUACGGACGCGGCAUCGCUCAACGGAUAAAAGGUACCCCGGGGAUAACAGGCUGAUCAUUCCCAAGAGUCCAUAUCGACGGGAUGGUUUGGCACCUCGAUGUCGGCUCGUCGCAUCCUGGGGCUGGAGCAGGUCCCAAGGGUUCGGCUGUUCGCCGAUUAAAGCGGCACGCGAGCUGGGUUCAGAACGUCGUGAGACAGUUUGGUCUCUAUCCUCUGCGCUCGUUGGAAUGCUGAGGAGGCCUGCCCAUAGUACGAGAGGACCUGGGUGGACGAACCUCUGGUAUGCCGGUUGUCGCGCCAGCGGCACGGCCGGUUGGCUACGUUCGGAAGGGAUAACCGCUGAAAGCAUCUAAGCGGGAAGCCUGCUCCAAGAUAAGCAUUCCCUGGAACCUUCGAGUUCCUGUAGUCCCCAUGCAGAACACGUGGUCGAUAGGCCGGACGUGGAAGCCCCGCGAGGGGUGGAGCCGACCGGUACUAACGGACGAAAGGCAACACUAA